rnacentral:misc_RNA from 1 species
AACAGUCUCAUGAGUGACACCUCUCUCUCCAUGUAGUUGCUUGAUUGAGGAGAAAAACCAUGGUUUUCUGAAGUGGCAAUAUCUAGGCAUAGAGAAAUUUUGACGAGUAUAUAGCUUUUUUUUUAUCAAUUGUAAUCAGAAGUAUAGAAGCUUUGGGUUGUGCCUGUCAUUUAUGUAAAAUUUCUACUGCCAAAGUCUGAUCCAACAAAGCCCAAAGGGAUGAUGGGCAUCUUUUUUAAACUUUCUNNNNNNNNNNNNNAACUAGAACAUCCUGUAGAAUUCAUGGUCCUCCUCAUGGGGAUUGUUGAUUUUGCUCUAGCAUGUUAGUGAUUGUCCCUUUUUUUUUAUUUAUAAAUAACCUGC